rnacentral:rRNA from 1 species
AUUGAACGCUGGCGGCAUGCCUUACACAUGCAAGUCGAACGGCAGCACGGGAGCAAUCCUGGUGGCGAGUGGCGAACGGGUGAGUAAUAUAUCGGAACGUGCCCAGUCGUGGGGGAUAACGUAGCGAAAGCUACGCUAAUACCGCAUACGAUCUAUGGAUGAAAGCGGGGGAUCGCAAGACCUCGCGCGAUUGGAGCGGCCGAUAUCAGAUUAGGUAGUUGGUGGGGUAAAAGCCUACCAAGCCUUCGAUCUGUAGCUGGUCUGAGAGGACGACCAGCCACACUGGAACUGAGACACGGUCCAGACUCCUACGGGAGGCAGCAGUGGGGAAUUUUGGACAAUGGGCGCAAGCCUGAUCCAGCAAUGCCGCGUGCAGGAUGAAGGCCUGGUUGUAAACUGCUUUGUACGGACGAAACGGUUACGUCUCUAAUACAGGGGCGUAAUGACGGUACCGUAAGAAUAAGACCCGGC